CCUACGGGCGGCAGCAGUGGGGAAUAUUGCACAAUGGGCGAAAGCCUGAUGCAGCAACGCCGCGUGAAGGAAGAAGGGUUUCGGCUCGUAAACUUCUAUCAACAGGGACGAAAGAAAUGACGGUACCUGAAUAAGAAGCCCCGGCUAACUACGUGCCAGCAGCCGCGGUAAUACGGAGGGGGCAAGCGUUAUGCGGAAUUACUGGGUGUAAAGGGUGAGUAGGCGGCAUGGUAAGCCAGAUGUGAAAGCCUUGGGCUUAACCCGAGGAUUGCAUUUGAAACUGUCAAGCUAGAGUGCAGGAGAGGAAAGCGGAAUUCCUGGUGUAGCGGUGAAAUGCGUAGAUAUGAGGAGGAACACCAGUGGCGAAGGCGGCUUUCUGGACUGUAACUGACGCUGAGGCACGAAAGCAUGGGGAGCGAACAGGAUUAGAUACCCUAGUAGUC
rnacentral:rRNA from 1 species